rnacentral:rRNA from 1 species
AGAUUGAACGCUGGCGGAAUGCUUUACACAUGCAAGUCGAGCGGCAGCGCGGGGCAACCUGGCGGCGAGCGGCGAACGGGUGAGUAAUGCAUCGGAACAUGUCCAUUCGUGGGGGAUAGCCCGGCGAAAGCCGGAUUAAUACCGCAUACGCCCGUUAGGGGGAAAGCCGGGGACCGCAAGGCCUGGCGCGAAUGGGUUGGCCGAUGCCCGAUUAGCUAGUUGGCGGGUAAUGGCCCACCAAGCGAUGAUCGGUAGCUGGUCUGAGAGGAUGAUCAGCCACACUGGGACUGAGACACGGCCCAGACUCCGUACGGGAGGCAGCAGUGGGGAAUUUUGGACAAGUGGGGGACAACCCGUGAUCCAGCCAUUCCGCGUGAGUAGAAGAAGGCCGUUGGUUAGUAAGUCUUCUUUCGUACCGGUAACGUAAACGGUU